AUUGAACGCUGGCGGCAUGCUUUACACAUGCAAGUCGAACGGUAACAGGUUAAGCUGACGAGUGGCGAACGGGUGAGUAAUGCAUCGGAACGUGCCCGGUCGUGGGGGAUAACGCAGCGAAAGCUGCGCUAAUACCGCAUACGAUCUCUGGAUGAAAGCGGGGGACCGAAAGGCCUCGCGCGAUUGGAGCGGCCGAUGUCAGAUUAGGUAGUUGGUGGGGUAAAGGCCCACCAAGCCAACGAUCUGUAGCUGGUCUGAGAGGACGACCAGCCACACUGGGACUGAGACACGGCCCAGACUCCUACGGGAGGCAGCAGUGGGGAAUUUUGGACAAUGGGCGCAAGCCUGAUCCAGCAAUGCCGCGUGCAGGAAGAAGGCCUUCGGGUUGUAAACUGCUUUUGUACGGAACGAAACGGUCCGGGUUAAUACCCUGGGCUAAUGACGGUACCGUAAGAAUAAGCACCGGCUAACUACGUGCCAGCCGCCGCAGUAA
rnacentral:rRNA from 1 species